GCACCAAAUCAGCCGCAGGAGCACAGGUGAAGGCAAUUCAGCCGUGUGACCAGAAGGGGUGAAGCCAGGCUCCACCUCUCCUAGACCCCAUUUAAGGGCUGACUGCCACUGAGGAAGGAUCUCUUCUUGGAGAUUGCUCCUUGUGGAGUUUUUGCAAGCCUACAACACCGCGAAUUGAUUUAUGGUGCUGCAGAUCCUAUCUGGCUGCUCUGCCCAGAGCACGUGCUUGGAAAAAGGACCUGGACAAGGAGCCUCACUGUCGUCGUUGCUGUUUUGUCUACAACUUUCCUUACUCACCCCUUAAGUUAGAGCAGUUUCUUCCAAACCGCGAUAAAUUGGUUUCUUACUCCCUUGUGCUCACAUCAGUAUUUUGAGUGGUUGUGUCCCAAAUCUCGGGAGGAAAACAGAGCAAACAACAGGAUCAGAGGCCGUGGGCACGGGCUGAAGCACAGGAAGCUCUCUCUGAGCACCAGGCAGCACUGCUGUGCUGUGCGGGUGACAGAGUGCUGGCACAGGCUGCCCAGAGGCUGUGAGGUCUCCUCCUCAGAGAUCUUUGAAACCACCUGGAUGUGGGCCUGUGCACCUGCAGUGGGUGUCCCUGCUGGGGCCUGUGCCAACCUCAGCCACCCUGUGAUGAUUCUGUGAUUCCCUCAGGUCUGGUCUCAGUGGAGGCAGUGCGACUUCACCAUUAUGCACAUACACUGCCUUCCCUUCAUCACUGGAGCUAUAAGAGAGAUGUGUCAUGUUUGAUUGGGAAAAUAUCGAUGUCGGUGGGAAAUCCCUGAGCAAAACUUCGUCACACGCUUUAAAGGAGGAGAAAGAUUCACUAUUUCCUCGUACAGGGCAGAGUGCUCCCCGUGAAUAACUGGACCCAACCUAAAAGCAGAAGGAAGUGUCUUUUUAAAGAACAGAGGUGUGGUGAUGACACUGUCGUGCUUCAUAGGCCUUGUGUAACCGGUGACGUGUGCGGCUUCUGAAGAGCCGGUUCCCCAGUCAGGCUGAGGUCACUCCCCAAGAAGAACAAUAAAAGACCAAUAAGUUGGCUGGCUGCAGGGAUCUGCCCCUUUCCCCCAGUAAAAAGAUAUUCGCUGGAUACAAACAUGGGUUUCUGUGGACUGGCAUGACUGCUGUGGUGGUUUGCGUAAAUCCAAGCUGGAAGUUUUGAAAGGGGAGAAUGCCAACCCAACAGACUGAGUCUACGGCCGCUAAGCGCCCUGAAGCCGCAAGGAACAGGCAGUUCCAUGCUGAGGGCACGUGGUUACCUACAGUCGUAUCUAUGUAAAUGUCUCCACACUGACUUGUUCAGCAAUUUACAACUUUCAAAUUACGGUUGUUUAAAGGGUGUGAAAAGGCUUUAUGUCAAGAAAUUGCUUUCAUGUUCAACUGGAUGCAAGCUAGAGUCUACAAUAGGGGAACUGGUUCUCCAGUAAAGGUUGUUCAGCACACUGGCCCAAACCUGGCCUGCUCUUGCACUCAUGGCAGAGCUCUUCAGGGCAAUAUGAAAAUACAUCUUUCCUGCUUUCCUACAAGAAGCGUAUGUACGUUUAUUUAACUGAGGGAUGAUCCUAAUCUGCAGUAAUUCUGCAGGCAUUGGUGAAUGACGUUGGAAAUAGGGAAGUGAAAUGGCCAGGAAAAGCAUCCAGGAUAAUAUGGCUUGAGAGUGGCCUGGAGAGAUUUCUAAAAAUGUCUAAGCAAGUCAAAGGCAGAAAUGGGAAUCUGUGCAGUGGCAGCACUGUGAGGGUGUGGGCUGUUCCUGUGGGAUGAUCAAGAGGUG
ensembl:lncRNA